rnacentral:rRNA from 1 species
CCAGCAGCUGCGGUAAUUCCAGCUCCACUAGCGUAUAUUAAAGUUGUUGCAGUUAAAAAGCUCGUAGUUGAACUUCUGGCCGCGCACGGCGUCGGAACUCGUUUCCGCGCCGGCUUUGCAUCGGCGCGGCCAUCCGUCUGCGAACUGCGGCGGCCUUCACUGGCUCUGCCGCAGGGAACAGACCCUUUACUUUGAAAAAAUUAGAGUGUUUAAGGCAGGCUCCGCGCCUGAAUACAUUAGCAUGGAAUAAUGGAAUAGGACGCUUGUCCGUUUGAUUGGUUUGCGGACUGGCGUAAUGAUUAAUAGGGACAGUUGGGGGCAUUAGUAUUUAAUUGUCAGAGGUGAAAUUC